rnacentral:rRNA from 1 species
UACGAAGGGUGCAAGCGUUACUCGGAAUUACUGGGCGUAAAGCGUGCGUAGGUGGUUUGUUAAGUCUGAUGUGAAAGCCCUGGGCUCAACCUGGGAAUUGCAUUUGAGACUGCGUAGCUAGGGUGCGGAAGAGGGAAGCGGAAUUUCCGGUGUAGCGGUGAAAUGCGUAGAUAUCGGAAGGAACACCAGUGGCGAAAGCGGCUUCCUGGUCCAGCACCGACGUCAGGCACGAAAGCGUGGGGAGCAAACAGG